rnacentral:rRNA from 1 species
UACGUAAGGGGCAAGCGUUGUUCGGAAUCAUUGGGCGUAAAGGGCGUGUAGGCGGUUAUGCAAGCUUGAUGUUAAAUAUCCCGGCUUAACCGGGAAAGUGCGUUGAGAACUGCAUGACUUGAGUUUUUGGGGGGAAGCUGGAAUUCCUGGUGUAGGGGUGAAAUCUGUAGAUAUCAGGAAGAACACCGAUGGCGAAGGCAAGCUUCUAUCAAAUAACUGACGCUGAGGCGCGAAAGCGUGGGGAGCGAACAGGAUUAGAUACCCCCGUA